AGGACGAACGCUGGCGGCGUGCUUAACACAUGCAAGUCGAGCGGAAAGGCCCUUCGGGGUACUCGAGCGGCGAACGGGUGAGUAACACGUGAGCAACCUGCCCUUAGCUUCGGGAUAGCUCCGGGAAACCGGAAUUAAUACCGAAUAUGACUUUGGCUGACAUCAGCAGAAGUGGAAAGUUUUUCGGCUAGGGAUGGACUCGCGGCCUAUCAGCUAGUUGGUGAGGUAACGGCCCACCAAGGCGACGACGGGUAGCCGGCCUGAGAGGGCGACCGGCCACACUGGGACUGAGACACGGCCCAGACUCCUACGGGAGGCAGCAGUGGGGAAUAUUGCGCAAUGGGCGAAAGCCUGACGCAGCGACGCCGCGUGGGGGAUGAAUGCCUUCGGGUUGUAAACCCCUUUCAGCAGGGACGAAGCGAAAGUGACGGUACUGCAGAGAAGCGCCGGCUCACUACGCGCUAGCAGCCGC
rnacentral:rRNA from 1 species